rnacentral:rRNA from 1 species
GUUGGGUUAAGUCCCGCAACGAGCGCAACCCUUACCUUUAUUUGCCAUCAUUGAGUUGGGCACUCUAAAGGAACCGCUCCGGUUAACGGGGAGGGAAGGUGGGGAGUGACGUCAAGUCCUCAUGGCCUUUAUGCCCAGGGCUACACACGUGCUACAAUGGCCAGUACAAAGGGCUGCAAAUCCGUGAGGGUGAGCAAAUCCCAAAAAGCUGGUCUCAGUUCGGAUUGGAGUCUGCAACCCGACUCCAUGAAGUCGGAAUCGCUAGUAAUCGCAGAUCAGCGUGCUGCGGUGAAUACGUUCCCGGGCCUU